AUGGCCACAGAAGUGAAAUCAUGGCCAGACUCACACCUUCCUCUCCACGGAAAACGUUUUGAUUACAGUUUAGAAGAGCCACUGACCAUCAAGGGGCACAGGCUGGGUUGCAGAAAUGAUUGGACGGGAAGACCGACUGCAAGGAGAGGCUGACCGAGAUGAAGGUUAGUAAAAAUCUUUCACCUGUGGUACUGUUCACCCGUUUCACAACAUUCAAAUCACAUCACAUAGCAUUUGGUUGCAUUCUGUAAUUUUAUGUUGCUUUUUUUUAUCAUUACAGGCUAAAUUACAAGGACUGUCCUUGGAAGAAAGGGGAGAGGUGCUUGAGCUGGUCGCUUCCAGUCUACCUUGAGUGAUUUUUGAAUACCGGAGAGGUAUCUCAGGGUCUCCAGACAUCCCAGAGCAUGGACAACCUCGCUGGUGCACCUGCCUGAAUUGCAGGGGGACUCCUACACCUUACGACACAAAACUGCUGCCAUUUCACCGCUGCACUAUUCCGUAUAUUUAUUACCAAGUAUGUUUACAUAACAGUUGAACUUUCCACCACUACACUGUACUUUAUUCUUCAUUUGGAUCUCAAUUAUGAAAAAUAUUUCAUUUGGGGACAUCUUUGUAAAUAGUUUUUUUUGGUGAUUAUUAUUUUCCCCCAGUCUGGGUGAUAUCAUUUCAGUACCUUACACCAGGGGUGUCAAACACAUUCCAUGGAGGGUUUAAUGUCUGCAGGUAUUGGGUUUUUCCUUUCAUUUAAGACAACCAGUUGAGGGAAGCUCUCUACUAAUUGGUGACCUUAAUUAAUCAAUCAAGUACAAGGGAGGAGUAAAAACCCACAUACACUCAGCCCUCCAUGGAAUGAGUUUGACACAUGCCUUACUGUGCUUUUUUUAAUUUGGAGAAAGUUACAGAAAUUACCGUGUAUUUUUGUUUAUCUCUCAAAUAAAACUUUAUUUGACCUUAUCUGUGUAAUCAGACCGACUUGUUUUGUACUGUAUUUACACCAGAGUAGUCCAUCCAUUUUUCUGGAUAUAUACCCAACUGUAGGUCUGCUAAUUUGUAGUGAAAAUUGUCAAUAGUAUACAUAUCCAGAAAAAGAUAACAGUUUAGUAAAUAAUUCCAAAACCAUUCCAAAAGUUAAAUAAUGAUGCCUAUAUGCUUGAUAAAGAAUGCACAAAUAUUGUUUCUCACACAAGUUUGUUGCCCACACAAACUUCCCUUAUUUACAUAUGAUUUAUAUGUUUGGUUGCAGGCCCACCACUUUCAACAACAUUUCUGAGUACUCUGUAGGUUUUCACACUUCCCGGGAAAUCUGACAAUAGGGAAAGCUCAGGUGUGCUAACUGCAUCUUGUGUUGCGUGGCGACUUCUCCUCAAAGUUGUAGCAGCUCAGCCAUUGUUGGUGGUGGCUCUUCAGGAGUCUUGGUUCAUCUGAUCUCAGGAUCAUUCUCCUUGGAAGCCCCAAGCGAGAGCCGUUCUUCUCAACAUUGCUUUCGUUCUGGGAUGGAUGUGUAGUCCUAUGCAGUUUUCAAUGCGUAGACACAGUCUCAUGUAGCUGAAAGAAAAUAUUUGGUGAGUAUUUUGUCUAUACAUUUACAGAACUGUAGUGUUGAUAUCUGUUGAAAAUAUAACAGCGAUAUCAUGUAUUAUAUUGUAAUGAGUUCUACUAAUUGAUAUUUGGGGGUUUUACAUCACAAAUAUUUUUCUCCAGAGAGUGGAGGAAGGAAAGCAAAUCUCCAGAGACUGAAGAAGGGAAAGCAAACUGCAUACAUGUGGAUGUAGAUCAGGAAGGACUCCGGCUCAGAUGUAGAUCUAGAUAGACAACAAAUCAGAAAACUAUAAAUCCCAAUCCUAAUCUGGAAUACGCUUUUAGCAUUUGACGUGUCUGUAAACUUUCUAAAUGUCGACAAAACAAAAUACCUAGACAAGGUGGGAUCUUUUUGUGUCGGUUGAAUUCAUUAUGCGAGAAAUGCAGGUGGAAACACUUUUAUGCACAAAUAUUGAUAUAAUAACCAUCAUAUAGAAGAAGUAAACUUCGAGUCACGUGAUGAUAUUCCACUGGGUGUCAAUUCAACAUUUAUUUCACAUUGGUUCAGUGUAACGUCAUUGAAAUGACGUGUAAACAACGCUGAUUUAACCAGUGUGUGCCCAGUGGGAUGUUAGCUGGUCCUCCCACUACAACUCAAGAAAGCAUGCAGUUUAUUAGGCUACAGAUGAAAUAAAUUAUGAUGAGCUUCACAGGGUGGUGAAAGUGCACGUGAUGAGCUUGAUGCUCCUUUCCAAUAAAUAUCGAGGGUCUUAUUCUGACGACAAAUAUCGAUGCUUGGCUGCGGUUUGACAAAUACAAAUGAUCUCGCUAUUUUGUCCAUAAUAAUCUCGAUUUAUCUG
rnacentral:lncRNA from 8 species